rnacentral:miRNA from 2 species
GGCGAUUUUACAACCCUUCCCA